GCUUUCGGCGCGCGUCCGCGUCCCCGUGUCAUGCUUUCCUCGUGAGAUACGCAUCUGUCGGUACACAGUUCUUCUGAGAUGAUCGACGCUUUCCGCUGACCGUUCUUUCUCUCAGCGCUUCCUCUACUAAUAACAGAGAGGAAAGACCCAGUGGAGGUGGGAGGUUCAAGCUCAUAAAGAUGCUGAGCGGAUUCCCCAACUCUGCUCAGAAGCUCACCAUCAUGCUUCACGCCUGCUGACUCUGAAGGAGAAGACUUGCUGGGAUUGCUUAGAGACAGGCAUGCGACAGAAGGUGCGCGCGUUUUCACGGGCUCGUCCCGGUGAAGAUGCUCUGGAGUGAAGAGACGUCUAGCUGACAACAGCGUUAACUUUCACGCCAAGUGCCUUCCGGAAGGAAAAACGUGGAAAUCUGACCGUUGGAUGUGCACUGUGAAUUUGAAGGAGUGUGAAUUAACAUUGCAAUGCCAUGCGAGCGAAAUUGGGGUUUGUUUUGGAGUCUAUGCACGUGGUGCCACCGGACUGACUCCGGAUCAAGCUGUGACUGACAGCUAACUUCAAAUUAAAUCAAACCGCUGGAAGGACUUUACUGCGAUUGAAACCUGUGGUCCAUGUGGAUUAUGAGAUGCUAUCAGAGUCUCCACGAUGCGUGAUGGGAAGUUUCGUGUUGGUUUUGGAGAGUUGUAAACGCAACUUGAGCGCUCAGGAUGUCUCAGGAACUCUGCGAUGGAUUUUGCUCUAAAACCUGCACAUUUAUCCAGAGAGAUAGGGGCUGAUAAUCCUCACGUUUAUAGAAGGAUCUCUUUCUUGAUUCUGGAGAUACUUGGUGCAUAUUAUAGGCUGCGGUUGUGAUGCAUCAAGACUUGUGUACGGAAUGCAAUUUGAAGAAGACUCAGUGGAUUUUCUGAAGUUGCGCAUUGGUCGCCAAGAUAUAUGGAAAUAUGCAGAUAUUUAGAUCCAGCAUGUAAAGAUAGAAACAGACAACGAACUUUAUCAGCUUUAUCAGGGUAAUGGAUUCGGACAGCAUGUGUUUUUCUGUCAGUUCCCUUUGUAAUCACAUUAUUGUACUGAGAGCAGUAUCAAAACAUUUGCUUUAUGAAUACAGAAAUGGCUGGCAGAAAUGAUCAUCUAAUAAUGCGCUGACUUGAUAGUGCUUUGAUUUAUAAUAUAAAGUUGAGAAUCAGUGAAGGUCUUUACUCAUCAGUAGAUAAUUGACGCUUCAACAGGUGACUGAGUGGUCCGUGCAAUAUCAGAAUGCUCCUGUUGGUAUGAGAGCUGGUCCCGUGGGUUUACUGUCGACCCUCUGUGCUUCCUUCUUUUCCUGCCCUGCUUCUCGCUGUCCACAUGCAGGCGAAGAAGCGAUACUUGCUGGUGUCUGUGGGGGCCUGUAGCCUGCUACUAGCCUACCUGUGUGGCCUACAAAUCAGUGAGUUCCACAACCAGAACCAUGCCGAGCUUUACGGAGUCUCACAGAUCGCCGGCGUCCCACCUCGGCCACCCCGCUGGCCAGAAUGGGUGGAUCCUCCCCUGCAGACAUACCUUGGUGAGGCCGAGCAGGAAGAGGACGGACCCCUGCUUCUUCAUCAACACACGUCUCCUCACGAGAGACGAGAAAUACAGAGGAACAUCUACAAGAGCCGGCGAUGUCGCAUGGAGACCUGCUUCGAUUUCCAGCGCUGCGAACGGGGGUUUAAAAUCUACGUAUAUCCGCCUCAGAAAGGUGAAGCGCCCUCGGAAAGCUACCAGAAGAUUCUGGCAGCCAUCGAGGAAUCGCGGUUCUACACGACGGACCCUAAUGAGGCCUGUCUGUUUGUACUGAGUAUAGACACUCUAGACAGGGACCAGCUGUCCGCUCAGUAUGUACAUAACGUCCGAGCCCGAAUUCAAAGCCUCCCUCUGUGGUACGAAGGGAGGAACCAUCUGAUUUUUAACUUGUACUCUGGAACGUGGCCUGAUUAUACGGAGGAACUAGGCUUCGAUAUCGGCCAAGCCAUGCUGGCCAAGGCCAGCACCGACAUGGACAACUUUAGACCGCGCUUUGAUGUGUCCAUCCCUUUGUUUUCAAAAGACCAUCCUCAGAAAGGAGGGAGCAAAGGUUAUCUGAAUCUUAACAAUGUCCCUCCCUUACGGAAAUACUUGUUGGUCUUCAAAGGGAAGAGGUAUCUAACUGGCAUCGGUUCUGAAACCAGAAAUGCGUUAUAUCAUAUACAUAAUGGGGAUGAUAUCAUUUUAUUGACUACCUGCAAACACGGGAAAGACUGGGAGAAACAUAAGGAUGCAAGGUGCGACAGAGAUAAUGAAGAAUACACAAAGUUUGAUUAUCAAGAGCUGCUUCACAACUCCAGUUUUUGCCUCGUUCCUCGGGGCAGACGGCUCGGGUCCUUCCGCUUUCUAGAGGCCCUGCAGGCGGCCUGUAUUCCUGUGCUGCUGAGUAACGGAUGGGAACUGCCCUUCUCGGAGGUCAUUGACUGGAGUAAAGCUGCCAUCAUUGGAGACGAGAGAUUAUUACUGCAGGUUCCAUCUAUCACCAGGUCUGUGGGUUCAGACAGAAUCCUGGCACUUCGGCAGCAGACUCAGCUCCUGUGGGACGCCUACUUCUCCUCCGUCACAAAGAUAGUCUUAACCACAUUAGAGAUUAUCCAUGACAGGAUACGGACACACAUGUCUCGAAGCAGGUUGAUGUGGAAUUCUUUGCCUGGAGGACUCUACGCACUUCCUGAGUUCUCCAGCGACCUCACCCUCUUCCCCUUCUACUACUCAACACUCGGUAAGAGUCCGUCUCAGGAGUUUACAGUCGUCAUUCAAGCGGUCACACCUCUACAGUCCCAACAGCAGCCCAUAUUCAAACUGAUCCAUGCGGUCGCCAAGUCCAAGUUCUGUGCGCAGAUUUUAGUGCUGUGGAACUGUGAGAAGCCUCCACCACCUAGAAACAAGUGGCCCUCCAUCACAACACCCUUUUCCAUCAUUGAGGGCAAAAGAAAGACAAUGAGUGGACGUUUUUUCCCUCAUCAAGCUAUCAAAACUGAUGCAGUUCUCAGCCUGGAUGAGGACUCGGUUCUGUCCACCAAUGAGGUGGAUUUCGCCUUCAUCGUUUGGCAAAGUUUUCCAGAUCGGAUUGUAGGCUACCCAGCACGCAGCCAUUACUGGGACAGUGGGAAGGGGAGGUGGGGUUAUACCUCUAAAUGGACCAAUGAAUACUCCAUGGUGCUCACAGGAGCUGCGUUCUACCACAGGUAUUAUCAUCACCUGUACACGUACUACCUGCCAACGUCUCUGCUGUCAAUGGUGGACCAGCUGGCCAACUGUGAGGACAUCCUCAUGAAUUUCCUCAUCUCUGCAGUAACCAAACUCCCGCCAAUCAAAGUCACACAGAAAAAACAGUACAAGGAGACCAUGAUGCAGCAGAGACCUGUCUCCCUCAUGCAGAGAACAUCUGCAGUACUCUCUUAGAUUCCCUGCCGCAGACAGACAGUGUGGCUGUCUCUCUAUCUGGACUAAUGAUUAUAACACCUCCACAACAAUUCACCAUCUGAGGGACACAAACAGCCGUGCUGCAUUCCCCUGGCAGAAAUACGUUUGAAAACUCAUUUUCUUUCAGCUUUUCAAUUUCGCUGCACUUUCUCCCCCUUCUCCCUUUCUCUUUUUCUUGUUCUUUUCUUCUUGUUUAUCCAGACGGGAGUUCUAAAUAGAGAGCAAUGCUGAGGAGCAGGGUAUGCUGUCUUCCUGUAAGAUCCGGAGAUGACCUCAAGAGGCGACACUCAAUCCAGCAGCCAGAGAACCUGUCAAAGUGUGAAACCAUUAACAGGUCCAGAUGACUGUGAAAAGCGUUGGUAUUCUUUGCAAAGUCGGGCAGAGACUGCAGAAUUCAAGCGACAAACAACUGCUACAGUGUCAUGGGCGCUCAGACACCAGCAUAACAGGGCUGGAGGGAUGCAUUGACCCUGCAAUGCAAUUGCUGAAUGAACUUGGCGAGGCCAACACUUCAGCUGGCAAUCAUGGCGAUGCUCCUGCCCCACUUCGCCCCGGCCCUGGCCCCUCCCCAACCCACCCAGAUCCUCCCGCCCUUUCUCCAGGCUCUGGUCCUGCAGCAACUGGUGGUGGUCCUGCUUCAGCAGCAUCUCUGUUGGAACAGAAAUUGGAGCUUAAAAUUUGUUU